rnacentral:tRNA from 1 species
UUGGAGGUGGCUGAGUUAAAGCGGAGGGCUGUAAACCCUUUUACGGAAUUUCCCCUCCAAAC